rnacentral:rRNA from 1 species
UACGUAGGGGGCGAGCGUUGUCCGGAGUUACUGGGCGUAAAGCGCUUGUAGGCGGUCCACCAAGUUUGGGGUGACAGUUGCCGACUUAAUCGGCAAAGUGCCUCAAAGACUGGCGGACUUGAGGGCCACAGAGGGACAUGGAACUCCAGGUGUAGUGGUGAAAUGCGUAGAUAUCUGGAAGAACACCAAAGGCGAAGGCAGUGUCCUGGGUGGUCGCUGACGCUGAGAGGCGAAAGCCAGGGGAGCAAACGGG